rnacentral:rRNA from 1 species
GACGAACGCUGGCGGCGUGCUUAACACAUGCAAGUCGAGCGGAAAGGCCCUUCGUGGCUUGCGAGCUGCGAACGGGCGAGUGACAAAUGAGUAAUCUGCCCAUCACUUCGGGAUAACCCCGGGACACCGAAGCCAAUGCCGCAUAUGCUCAUUUCAGGUAUCAGAUCGUGGUGGAAAGUUCCGGCGGUGAUGGAUGAGCGCGUGGCGUAUCAGCUUGUUGGGUGUAUCGGGGUAUACGAAGGCUGCGACGGGUAGGCGGCCUGGGAGGGUGACCGGCCACACGGGGACUGCGACACGGCGCAGAAGCCUACGGGAGGCAGCAGUGGGGAAUAUUAGACAAUGGCCGCGAGCCUGAGCCAGCAACGCCGGGUUAGGGAUGACGGCCUUCUGGUGAUAAACCGCUUUCAACAGGGAUGAAGCGGUAGUGACGGUACCUGCAGAAGAAGCACCGGCUAACUACGUG